UACGAAGGGGGCUAGCGUUGUUCGGAAUCACUGGGCGUAAAGGGCGCGUAGGCGGCUUUAUAAGUCGGGGUGAAAGCCUGUGGCUCAACCACAGAAUUGCCUUCGAUACUGUAGAGCUUGAGACCGGAAGAGGUAAGUGGAACUGCGAGUGUAGAGGUGAAAUUCGUAGAUAUUCGCAAGAACACCAGUGGCGAAGGCGGCUUACUGGUCCGGUUCUGACGCUGAGGCGCGAAAGCGUGGGGAGCAAUCAGG
rnacentral:rRNA from 1 species